UACGUAGGGUGCGAGCGUUAAUCGGAAUUACUGGGCGUAAAGCGUGCGCAGGCUGUUUUGUAAGUCAGAUGUGAAAUCCCUGAGCUCAACUUAGGAACUGCGUUUGAAACUACAAGACUAGAAUAGGUCAGAGGGGGGUAGAAUUCCACGUGUAGCAGUGAAACGCGUAGAGAUGUGGAGGAAUACCAAUGGCGAAGGCAGCCCCCUGGGAUCAUAUUGACGCUCAUGCACGAAAGCGUGGGGAGCAAACAGG
rnacentral:rRNA from 1 species